rnacentral:rRNA from 1 species
CCUACGGGUGGCAGCAGUGGGGAAUAUUGCACAAUGGGGGAAACCCUGAUGCAGCGACGCCGCGUGAGGGAAGAAGUAUUUCGGUUUGUUAACUUCUAUCUGCACGGGAGAAAAUGACGGUACUUGACUAAGAAGCCCCGGCUAACUCCGUGCCAGCAGCCGCGGUAAUCCGUCGGGGGCCAGCGUUAUCCGGAUUUCCUGGGUGUAAAGGGAGCGUAGGCGGCGCAUAAAGUCAGUAGGGAAAGGCGCGGGCACAACCCGGGGACUGCUUGUGAAACUGGAAACCUAGAUUGCAGGAGAGGUAAGUGGAAUUCGUAGUGUAGCGGUGAAAUGCGUAGAUAUUAGGAGGAACACCAGUGGCGAAGGCGGCUUACUGGACUGUAAAUGACGCUGAGGCUCGAAAGCGUGGGGAGCAAACAGGAUUAGAUACCCCGGUAGUC